rnacentral:rRNA from 1 species
UACGUAGGGUGCAGGCGUUAAUCGGAAUUACUGGGCGUAAAGCGUGCGCAGGCGGUUUGUUAAGACAGAUGUGAAAUCCCCGGGCUUAACCUGGGAACUGCGUUUGUAACUGGCAAGCUAGAGUGUGGCAGAGGGGGGUGGAAUUCCAAGUGUAGAGGUGAAAUUCGUAGAUAUUGGGAAGAACACCGGUGGCGAAGGCGGCUCACUGGCUCGUUUCUGACGCUGAGGCGCGAAAGCGUGGGGAGCAAACAGG